UUUGGACAAUAUAAAAAAGGUAUGACCAAAUGAAUCCAUUCAAUUUCAUCUAUGUGACAUCUUUUGAAAAUGAAAUGAAAAGAUAACCUACUUAAUUGUUUGUACACAUUUUUUUAUCAAUUAAAUAUAAAAGUAAUUAAUUUGAAAUGUUUUUUUUUUAAAGUAAUAUGUAUUUAUCAAUAUUAAUAUUCAUAUAUUAUCUAUCGAUUUGUAAUAUUAUUUAAUUUUUUUUAAUAAUUUUUAUUAUUUUUUUCUCAAUACAAAUUUAAAGGAGUUGUCCAUCGAAGUAAAAACGUAUCCGCAUCUACAUCAAGUGCCAAUGUUUCAAAAAAAUCAAUGUUACCAAAUCAUCCUUCACAUUAAAAUAUUAGAACUCCUUUAUCUAACAUUUCCAAUGAUAAGUCAUUUAUUUGUUUAAUUUAAUUUUAUAAUCGACAAUCUUAUUGUAUCAUAUAUAAUAUUGUUUACCUUCAAUUUUCUUUUCCCAGUCAUGGAUAUUUCCAAUAACAGUUUUCAAUCACCGUCAACAAACAUCGGCUUGGAUUCAAACGGUAACAUACACCAUUGUUUUUACACUUUCUUUCUAUUCUUCAAACAAUUACACUAUUAUUUAUAAUUUAUACAUUUCUUAUAAUGAUUUUUUUACAGAAAGAUUCAAAGGAGUGGUCAAUCGAAAGAAAAACAUAUGCACAUCUAUGUCAAAUGGGAAUAUGUCAAAACAACCAAUGUUACAAACAUCUUCAUAUUUAAAUUUUAGAACUCUGUUAUCUAACAUUUCCAAUGGUAUCUCAUUAAUAUUUUUAUUUUAUAAUACAUAUAUUGUCAUUGUAUCAUCUACCCUAAUAAAUGAAAAUGUUAUUGCCACUUGUCAUUCUCUCA
rnacentral:lncRNA from 1 species